AUGAAGAUCAGAGCGUCGCCACGGCUUGGUGGAGAUGUAAUCGCUUGGGCGGCCGAGCGGACCGGAGUAUUUUCAGUUCGGAGUGCGUACCACCUCGCCCUCAAUGAACGACUUCUGCCUACUUCAGUUGCAUCGAGCAGGGCACCAGACGGGCGACGUUCCGUUUGGGCACUAAUAUGGAAGUGCCCUGUUCCACCUAAGGUGCGUAUAUUUGCAUGGAAGCUCGCGUCAAAUUCUCUAGCCACCUGGGCUAACAAGCACACACGGUCCUUGGAAAUCUCCGACAUAUGCCCACUAUGUGCAAUGGAGCGAGAGGACACGUUCCACGUCUUCUACAGAUGCCCUCGGGCGGUUGCUCUGUGGAAUGCUAUGGCGGAGCACUGGAGACUGCCUGACAUAUCAAGGGUCCGUUCGACUGGUGUUGAGUGGCUGUUCAAUCUCCUAUAUGAUCUAGGAGACGAUGAGCGCAUGCAAGUACUGAUGAUCCUCUGGCGCACAUGGCAUGUGCGUAAUGAAAUAGUCCAUGCAAAAUCACCACCUCAUGUGGAAGCAUCUUGUCGUUUCCUACAAAGCUAUAUGUAG
rnacentral:rRNA from 1 species